rnacentral:tRNA from 3 species
GCGAAGUUAGUUUAGUGGUAAAACAAUAGCUUCCCAAGCUGUGGUCGCGGGUCCGAUUCCCGUACUUCGCU